GGGAAGUUGGCUCCGUGGUAGAGCGCUUGCCUUGUAAGCAUGAGGCCUUGGGUUCGAUUCCUCGGCAACACA
rfam:Dipodomys ordii contig_43374, whole genome shotgun sequence.